UACGUAGGUGGCAAGCGUUGUCCGGAUUUACUGGGCGUAAAGAGCGCGCAGGCGGUCGUUCAAGUCGCGUGUGAAAGCCCCCGGCUCAACUGGGGAGGGUCACGCGAUACUGCUCGACUCGAAGGCAGGAGAGGGAAGUGGAAUUCCCGGUGUAGUGGUGAAAUGCGUAGAUAUCGGGAGGAACACCAGUGGCGAAGGCGACUUCCUGGCCUGUUCUUGACGCUGAGGCGCGAAAGCUAGGGUAGCAAAACGGG
rnacentral:rRNA from 1 species